GACGAACGCUGGCGGCGUGCUUAACACAUGCAAGUCGAACGGAAAGGCCCUGCUUUUGUGGGGUGCUCGAGUGGCGAACGGGUGAGUAACACGUGAGUAACCUGCCCUUGACUUUGGGAUAACUUCAGGAAACUGGGGCUAAUACCGGAUAGGAGCUCCUGCUGCAUGGUGGGGGUUGGAAAGUUUCGGCGGUUGGGGCUGGACUAGCGGCUUAUCAGCUUGUUGGUGGGGUAGUGGCUUACCAAGGCUUUGACGGGUAGCCGGCCUGAGAGGGUGACCGGCGACAUGGGGACUGAGAUACGGCCCAGACUCCUACGGGAGGCAGCAGUGGGGAAUAUUGCACAAUGGGCGGAAGCCUGAUGCAGCAACGCCGCGUGCGGGAUGACGGCCUUCGGGUUGUAAACCGCUUUCUCCUGUGACGAAGCGUGAGUGACGGUAAUGGGUAAAGAAGCACCGGCUAACUACGUG
rnacentral:rRNA from 1 species